rnacentral:rRNA from 1 species
CCCUUAGAUGUUCUCGGCCGCACACGCGCUACACUGAAAGAGGCAAAGUGUUUGCCUGAUUCGAAAGAAUUGGGUAACCCCCUAAUCUCUUUCGUGCUGGGGAUUGAGGUUUGCAAUUAUCCUUCAUGAACGAGGAAUUCCCAGUAAGUGCGAGUCAUUAUCUCGCGCUGACUACGUCCCUGCCCUUUGUACACACCGCCCGUCGCUACUACCGAUUGAAUGAUUUAGUGAAGCGUUCGGACCGUGGCCUUUGGACGGUUCGCCGUCUGUUGGCUGCGGGAAGUUCGUUAAACCUUAUCAUUUAGAGGAAGGAGAAGUCGUAACA